ensembl:Mt_tRNA
GCACUAGUAGCUCAGUCCCCAGAGCGUCGGUCUUGUAAACCGAAAGUCGGAGGUUAGACUCCUCCCUACUGCU